CCUUGAUAACAUAAGGAGUCGUGCCUUCCCGGUGAGUUUAAACUUAAACGGAUGCGGUAAAGCGUGGUAAGGUAGGUAAGUUAUGGCCUACUUAAUUGUAGGCCCUGUGAAUGGUUUGACGAGUUUUCUUCUGUCUCUAGCUUGGUUAAGUGAACUUGAGUAGGAUGUGCAAAUGCUUCCUUGCUAAAGAAAGACGAGAAGACCCCGUGAACCUAGAAAUUAAUGUGCAGAAUAUUGGGAGGCUACUUUUUCUGCCUUAUAGUUUUGGCUGGGGCACCAAGGUGGCAAAAGUGAACCCCUUAAACUUUAAUUCUGGUGACCAAUGACCCAUAAUGUUUAAGGGUAUCAUAGUAGAAGAAGUUACUCGGGGGACAGCAGAAUAAUCCGCCUUGGCAGUCAUUAUAGAUGGGGGGGUGCGCGACCUCGAUGUAGCCUGGGGAUGUCCUGAAGGUGUAG
rnacentral:rRNA from 1 species